UACGGGGGGGGCUAGCGUUGCUCGGAAUCACUGGGCGUAAAGCGCACGUAGGCGGCUUCUUAAGUCAGGGGUGAAAUCCUGGAGCUCAACUCCAGAACUGCCUUUGAUACUGAGGAGCUUGAGUCCGGGAGAGGUGAGUGGAACUGCGAGUGUAGAGGUGAAAUUCGUAGAUAUUCGCAAGAACACCAGUGGCGAAGGCGGCUCACUGGCCCGGUACUGACGCUGAGGUGCGAAAGCGUGGGGAGCAAACAGG
rnacentral:rRNA from 1 species